GCUGCGGUAGCUCAGUGGUAGAGCACACCCUUGGUAAGGGUGAGGUCGAGAGUUCAAUCCUCUCUCGCAGCACCA
rnacentral:tRNA from 25 species